rnacentral:other from 1 species
AAUGUCCUGGAGUGUUCGUUAUGAUUAUGUAAUUUAACCUACAAUAAGUUCACGGGAAUUCGGUGUUGUACGGCGGAUCUCAUGCCUCCUGCGGGGAGGAAGCUUGAAACCGUAUACAGGGUACCCACCUAUCAGAAAGAUAGGGAGUGAAUUAGUAAUCAGACGGCAUUUUGGGAUAUUU